AUCAUGUCAAUCUGCCUUAUUAAGUCGAUUUCAAAAUUCAUUAUUUAUAUCACCAAUACCUAUUUUUCUCUCGCUAGCUUUGAAGUUUUUUAGCCACAUUUUCCAAUUUGUUAAAUCUGUAUUAAAUGUAGAGAUUAGAGUAGGUCUCGGUCCGCUUGUUUUUCUCAAGAUUCUCAGCAGUGGGCAGAGCAAGCAACAUUAUAUCAUUUAAAAAAUUCAUCCAUUAUUCGCAAAAAGACUACUAAUAUGUAAUGACAAUGUAAAUAUGUAUGACUAAUAAUAUGUAACAAGGAGGAAAAUAAACUUGCAGUCGAAAUA